rnacentral:Y_RNA from 1 species
GGUUGGUCUGAGUGCAGGUGUGGUUUACAACUAAUUGAUCACAACCAGUUACAGAUUCCUUUGUCCGCUUCUCUACUCCCACUGCUUCACUUGACCAGACUUAA